rnacentral:rRNA from 1 species
GAUUAAGUUAUUAAGGGCGCACGGUGGAUGCCUUGGCACUAGAAGCCGAUGAAGGACGUUACUAACGACGAUAUGCUUUGGGGAGCUGUAAGUAAGCUUUGAUCCAGAGAUUUCCGAAUGGGGAAACCCAGCAUGAGUUAUGUCAUGUUAUCGAUAUGUGAAUACAUAGCAUAUCAGAAGGCACACCCGGAGAACUGAAACAUCUUAGUACCCGGAGGAAGAGAAAGAAAAUUCGAUUCCCUUAGUAGCGGCGAGCGAAACGGGAAGAGCCCAAACCAACAAGCUUGCUUGUUGGGGUUGUAGGACACUCUAUACGGAGUUACAAAGGACGACAUUAGACGAAUCAUCUGGAAAGAUGAAUCAAAGAAGGUAAUAAUCCUGUAGUCGAAAAUGUUGUCUCUCUUGAGUGGAUCCUGAGUACGACGGAGCACGUGAAAUUCCGUCGGAAUCUGGGAGGACCAUCUCCUAAGGCUAAAUACUCUCUAGUGACCGAUAGUGAACCAGUACCGUGAGGGAAAGGUGAAAAGCACCCCGGAAGGGGAGUGAAAUAGAACCUGAAACCGUGUGCUUACAAGUAGUCAGAGCCCGUUAAUGGGUGAUGGCGUGCCUUUUGUAGAAUGAACCGGCGAGUUACGAUUUGAUGCAAGGUUAAGCAGUAAAUGUGGAGCCGUAGCGAAAGCGAGUCUGAAUAGGGCGUUUAGUAUUUGGUCGUAGACCCGAAACCAGGUGAUCUACCCUUGGUCAGGUUGAAGUUCAGGUAACACUGAAUGGAGGACCGAACCGACUUACGUUGAAAAGUGAGCGGAUGAACUGAGGGUAGCGGAGAAAUUCCAAUCGAACCUGGAGAUAGCUGGUUCUCUCCGAAAUAGCUUUAGGGCUAGCCUCAAGUGAUGAUUAUUGGAGGUAGAGCACUGUUUGGACGAGGGGCCCCUCUCGGGUUACCGAAUUCAGACAAACUCCGAAUGCCAAUUAAUUUAACUUGGGAGUCAGAACAUGGGUGAUAAGGUCCGUGUUCGAAAGGGAAACAGCCCAGACCACCAGCUAAGGUCCCAAAAUAUAUGUUAAGUGGAAAAGGAUGUGGCGUUGCCCAGACAACUAGGAUGUUGGCUUAGAAGCAGCCAUCAUUUAAAGAGUGCGUAAUAGCUCACUAGUCGAGUGACACUGCGCCGAAAAUGUAUCGGGGCUAAACAUAUUACCGAAGCUGUGGAUUGUCCUUUGGACAAUGGUAGGAGAGCGUUCUAAGGGCGUUGAAGCAUGAUCGUAAGGACAUGUGGAGCGCUUAGAAGUGAGAAUGCCGGUGUGAGUAGCGAAAGACGGGUGAGAAUCCCGUCCACCGAUUGACUAAGGUUUCCAGAGGAAGGCUCGUCCGCUCUGGGUUAGUCGGGUCCUAAGCUGAGGCCGACAGGCGUAGGCGAUGGAUAACAGGUUGAUAUUCCUGUACCACCUAUAAUCGUUUUAAUCGAUGGGGGGACGCAGUAGGAUAGGCGAAGCGUGCGAUUGGAUUGCACGUCUAAGCAGUAAGGCUGAGUAUUAGGCAAAUCCGGUACUCGUUAAGGCUGAGCUGUGAUGGGGAGAAGACAUUGAGUCUUCGAGUCGUUGAUUUCACACUGCCGAGAAAAGCCUCUAGAUAGAAAAUAGGUGCCCGUACCGCAAACCGACACAGGUAGUCAAGAUGAGAAUUCUAAGGUGAGCGAGCGAACUCUCGUUAAGGAACUCGGCAAAAUGACCCCGUAACUUCGGGAGAAGGGGUGCUCUUUAGGGUUAACGCCCAGAAGAGCCGCAGUGAAUAGGCCCAAGCGACUGUUUAUCAAAAACACAGGUCUCUGCUAAACCGUAAGGUGAUGUAUAGGGGCUGACGCCUGCCCGGUGCUGGAAGGUUAAGAGGAGUGGUUAGCUUCUGCGAAGCUACGAAUCGAAGCCCCAGUAAACGGCGGCCGUAACUAUAACGGUCCUAAGGUAGCGAAAUUCCUUGUCGGGUAAGUUCCGACCCGCACGAAAGGCGUAACGAUUUGGGCACUGUCUCAACGAGAGACUCGGUGAAAUCAUAGUACCUGUGAAGAUGCAGGUUACCCGCGACAGGACGGAAAGACCCCGUGGAGCUUUACUGUAGCCUGAUAUUGAAAUUCGGCACAGCUUGUACAGGAUAGGUAGGAGCCUUUGAAACGUGAGCGCUAGCUUACGUGGAGGCGCUGGUGGGAUACUACCCUAGCUGUGUUGGCUUUCUAACCCGCACCACUUAUCGUGGUGGGAGACAGUGUCAGGCGGGCAGUUUGACUGGGGCGGUCGCCUCCUAAAAGGUAACGGAGGCGCUCAAAGGUUCCCUCAGAAUGGUUGGAAAUCAUUCAUAGAGUGUAAAGGCAUAAGGGAGCUUGACUGCGAGACCUACAAGUCGAGCAGGGUCGAAAGACGGACUUAGUGAUCCGGUGGUUCCGCAUGGAAGGGCCAUCGCUCAACGGAUAAAAGCUACCCCGGGGAUAACAGGCUUAUCUCCCCCAAGAGUUCACAUCGACGGGGAGGUUUGGCACCUCGAUGUCGGCUCAUCGCAUCCUGGGGCUGUAGUCGGUCCCAAGGGUUGGGCUGUUCGCCCAUUAAAGCGGUACGCGAGCUGGGUUCAGAACGUCGUGAGACAGUUCGGUCCCUAUCCGUCGUGGGCGUAGGAAAUUUGAGAGGAGCUGUCCUUAGUACGAGAGGACCGGGAUGGACAUACCUCUGGUGUACCAGUUGUCGUGCCAACGGCAUAGCUGGGUAGCUAUGUGUGGACGGGAUAAGUGCUGAAAGCAUCUAAGCAUGAAGCCCCCCUCAAGAUGAGAUUUCCCAACUUCGGUUAUAAGAUCCCUCAAAGAUGAUGAGGUUAAUAGGUUCGAGGUGGAAGCAUGGUGACAUGUGGAGCUGACGAAUACUAAUCGAUCGAAGACUUAAUCAA